rnacentral:misc_RNA from 1 species
GAUGAAGAACGUAGCGAAAUGCGAUAAGUAAUGUGAAUUGCAGAAUUCAGUGAAUCAUCGAAUCUUUGAACGCACAUUGCGCCCGCCAGUAUUCUGGCGGGCAUGCCUGUUCGAGCGUCAUUACAACCCUCAGGCCCCCGGGCCUGGCGUUGGGGAUCGGCGGAGCCCCCCGUGGGCACACGCCGUCCCCCAAAUGCAGUGGCGGUCCCGCCGCAGCUUCCAUCGCGUAGUAGCUAACACCUCGCGACUGGAGAGCGGCGCGGCCACGCCGUAAAACACCCAACUCUUCUGAAGUUGACCUCGAAUCAGGUAGGAAUACCCGCUGAACUUAAGCAUAUCAAAAGCGGGGA